rnacentral:rRNA from 1 species
ACACGUAGGGGGCGAGCGUUGUCCGGAUUUAUUGGGUUUAAAGGGUGCGUAGGCGGAAUGAUAAGUCAGUGGUGAAAGUUUUCGGCUCAACCGGAAAAUUGCCGUUGAUACUGUCAUUCUGGAAUAUGGUUGCUGUGGGCAGAAUGUGUGGUGUAGCGGUGAAAUGCAUAGAUAUCACACAGAAUACCGAUUGCGAAGGCCGCUCACAAAACCAAUAUUGACGCUGAGGCACGAAAGUGUGGGGAUCAAACAGGAUUAGAUACCCUGGUAGUCCACACUGUAAACGAUGAUAACUAGCUGUUGGUGAUACACAAUCAGUGGCUAAGCGAAAGCGAUAAGUUAUCCACCUGGGGAGUACGACCGCAAGGUUGAA